rnacentral:rRNA from 1 species
GGACCCGCACAAGCAGCGGAGCAUGUGGUUUAAUUCGAAGCAACGCGAAGAACCUUACCAGGACUUGACAUCCCUCUGACCGGGUGGUAACGCACCCUUUCCUUCGGGACAGAGGAGACAGGUGGUGCAUGGUUGUCGUCAGCUCGUGUCGUGAGAUGUUGGGUUAAGUCCCGCAACGAGCGCAACCCUUGUCAUUAGUUGCCAGCAGUUCGGCUGGGCACUCUAGUGAGACUGCCGGGGAUAACUCGGAGGAAGGUGGGGAUGACGUCAAAUCAUCAUGCCCCUUAUGUUCUGGGCUACACACGUGCUACAAUGGCUGGUACAAAGAGACGCAAGACGCGAGGUGGAGCAAAUCUCAAAAACCAGUCCCAGUUCGGAUUGUAGGCUGCAACUCGCCUACAUGAAGUUGGAGUUGCUAGUAAUCGCGAAUCAGAAUGUCGCGGUGAAUGCGUUCCCGGGUCUUGUACACACCGCCCGUCACACCAUGGAAGUUGGGGGCGCCCGAAGUUGGCCAGUUAAUAGGUUACCUAAGGCGAAAUCAAUGACUGGGGUGAAGUCGUAACAAGGUAGCCGUAUCGGAAGGUGCGGCU